UACAGAGGGGGCAAGCGUUGUUCGGAAUUACUGGGCGUAAAGGGCGCGUAGGCGGCCUUCUAAGUCGAACGUGAAAUCCCCGGGCUCAACCCGGGAACUGCGUCCGAUACUGGAAGGCUUGAAUCCGGGAGAGGGAUGCGGAAUUCCAGGUGUAGCGGUGAAAUGCGUAGAUAUCUGGAGGAACACCGGUGGCGAAGGCGGCAUCCUGGACCGGCAUUGACGCUGAGGCACGAAAGCGUGGGGAUCAAACAGG
rnacentral:rRNA from 1 species